CGUUGUGCAGGAGGAGAAGGUCAGAGCGCUGGACAGAGCGCUCAGCGAGCUGCAGCAGCAGAUGCAGCAGCCGCCCUCGGGAGACGCGGCCGCGGAGCCGCAGCAGGAACCUCAGGUUUCCAACAAUCUGGAGCAGGAACCAGCAAACGUGGAUGCUGCCACAAACCUCUUAUCUCAGCUGUGAUGCAUAAUAAAUGAUGCAGGGAUUCCAAGAAAG